UACAGGGGGUGCAAACGUUGCUCGGAAUCAUUGGGCGUAAAGCGCACGUAGGCGGUCUGUUAUGUCGGAUGUGAAAGCCCUUGGCUCAACUGAGGAAGUGCAUCCGAAACUGGCAGGCUAGAGUACGUAAGAGGGUCGCGGAAUUCCCGGUGUAGAGGUGAAAUUCGUAGAUAUCGGGAGGAACACCGGUGGCGAAGGCGGCAUCCUGGACCAACACUGACGCUGAGUGAGCGAAAGCCAGGGGAGCAAACGGG
rnacentral:rRNA from 1 species